GUCUGCGAGGGAAGGUGUGCAGUCACUUAUCUUAAACAUCAGAAGUUCUAGAAAAUGCUCUUGAGCAAUGUUGAUUUUUGUUUUGGUUUACUGCUGUUCCUGGAUGGACAAUGAACGAUAGAAACAACAACAUAGUAAGGUGGCAACUCAUUCGGCAUGAAUAUAUAUAAGUGAACAAGUAUUCUCAAAUCAAAUAAUAAGGUUUGUCGGAUGUGUGUACGUGGCUUCAACACAUGAGAUGUAACACCUAUUAGACAUAUUAACAUGUACUCAUAUCACAGGAGGGUGGGUGAGAUUUUGUCCAGGAAUUUCUGGCAUUGCAGCUGAAAGAUUGGCGAGCCGAAGGACUUCCUGUUCAGUAUUACUCCUGUUGAAGCCGAGGCGUAUAGCUGAAACACACGUAUCAUUUCAUCUCUUAUAUGCCUCAUCUUUGUAUAGAAAGUGUGUUGGUAACCCUUUGUUUUGUGUUUUGUUGAAACUUUACUAUGUCAUUUUCAAGUGAGAUUUUUAUUUGGUUUUAGGUAGCUCUACUGAUGUGUAAAGAAUGGUGGUUGCAGGUAAUGAGAGCCAUUCCAUUAUACGAUACCUAUCCAUUUUUAUUGCUUUAAUUUUUGUCAGUUUAGUCACUGAAUGUAGCUGGAACAGAACAUGUUGGAAUUUUAGCAUCAGGACAUCUGGCUAGUUGGACGAUUAAACAUCCCUCUGUGUGGACACAAACAUUGUGUCUAGAUUUCAUCUGUAGAUUAUUUCGAGGAUGAUAACUUUGUCACCAACAUCGUGACUUUGAAAACUAGCAGUUGAACAGCCUUUCAAUUCCAAACAAGAAUCUAUUCAUGUAAUGUGACACUAUAUGGCUGGUAUUGGAGUAGAUAAUGCUGUUUGAAUGCAGAAUAUGUCACUGAGAAGGGGUUCUAUUAUGGUAGGAGUAUCGUGUUUAAGUACAGGCUGACCAGAAUUACAAACACAUUGAUUGAAAACUAUCAUCAGUUUCAAGAAUUGGUUAAAAACCAUUUUCCAGGCUAUUUGUGCUUUGUUAGCUAUAGGUCCCUAUAGACAAACUUACACUUCAGUUACUAGCAGAUGAACUGUUUCAAUUUCAAACAAAAGGAGUUGUGGU